AAAAAAGUUUAAACUACAACCCCCAGAAUUCCUUUUGGUGAUGACCUGAGGCAAUGCACCAGCUGAAACCUUCCAAAGAUUAAAAAGGGCUCAUGCUCAGGAGCAUCUGUUCCUGCCUUCCCCUGUGCUGCAGUGUUCCCCUGCACAACAUGCUGCAUUUCACCUGCGUUCGAUGCUUACAUGCACCUGUGGGUAACUCUUUUUCAGGGUCACCUUUUCAAGCCGAGACAUGUUGCUGCUGAGGUGCCUCAAAGCCUGCUCAGUCCAGGAGGCCUGGUCGUAGUCCUAUUCUUUUAAAAGAGGAAGCCAACAUGUGAUUGAUCUCUUUGGAUCAUUGGAGGAAGUGGAUUAAACUCAGAAACUGAAUGGAGGUAGGCCUAGUAGGCAGUCUGUGGAUUCUGGCAAACAACAAGGACACAGAAGGAUUAGCAUUCCUGGAUGUGCCACCUGUAGAGUAGGGACUCAAAUGUACAGACCUAGGGGCAAAGGUAGUUUGCCUAGGUUCAACUUGGAGGGCCUGCGCUUGGGGUGGGACACUUUCAAGUGAUAUUCAAAGGGGCCUAUUUAUCAAGCUGUAUAGAAAAAACAGUGACAAAACACACAGCACAUUACCAGGCAUUACUGUGUAAAAAAUGGUGAUUAUGUGCCUCUGUGUAAAAAUCCAGUGUUAGUGCUAACAGUCAUUUCAAAAUACUAUAGGAAAAUACGGCAUUCAUCCAUCAUGGUUUUUCACUCUUUUGCCUGUUUUUUUCUGCCAGUUGAGUUGUUCCCAUUGAUUUUAAUGGAUUAUGUGUGGUCUGAAGUGGAAAUUCUGGCAGCCUGGAUAAGCAAGUUGCAUCAUUAGGCCCUACUGUCCUACACCAAGCUAAUGAGACACUAAACGUUUAGUAAUGCUGCAUGCCAAGCCAUUGCCAAAUGGCUGCUAUUUUGGCAUCCAUGCUGGUGCAUUGCACACAAGUUGUGAUGGGUGCAACUUAACAUGAACUAGUUUUUAUGCUGGAAUUCUGGUAAAAAUGUGCUUUGUGGGCAAAAAAAAAAAAAAAAAAAUGUGUACUUGCAUCAUGAACCAAUUGUAAAUUCAACUUGCUAUUUUUCCCUACUAUACCAGCCACCCCACAACAAAAAUCCUAUAUUUCCUUUUCCAUAUGCAUUCUUUAGUCUAAUCCUACUAUACAGUCCUAUAUCCUAAAACCACAGUCCUUUUUCAGGGACAUGAUGCCUCCACAUAUAAGAGAAGCAUUUUGUGGUGUAUUAAUGAGUGUACCCCACAUUUUUUCUGUCUGCAAAUUCUGUUCUAUGAGAUCUCACUAGGUCCUGAGGUGGGGAUCAAGACAGUUCUCAUGUAUUCUAAUUACAAUUUUGUUUGCCUGUGUUAUUUUCUGCUUCAUUUCACCAUGCUUUUGUAAAUAUCAGUGUAUCAAGCUUGUGCAUUACUAUUGAAAAAAAAUUUGGAAAAAGGAAAGUUGAAUAAGAUGAUGGUAUCAAUUAUAUUUAGCAUUCACUAAAAAAAGCAGAGUCAGCUCUGCAGUGGAUCAAUCAGUAAAGAGCAGUGAUUAUGAAUGAUGGCCAGGAAGCUGAAAAGAAUAACAUGACAAAGCACACUUAACAGGAAUAAACAAUGCUAGCUAUUGUUUUGUAUGAUUAAGGGCUCACUCUGACAUGUGUCAGACUAUGCAUUAAGCAAAUUGCUGUACGCUUUCCUUUAAAGUUUCAAUAAAUGGAUUUUUUUACUUAAA